rnacentral:tRNA from 1 species
AAAGGUAUAGCUCAGAGGUAGAGUGCCUGUUUAACAUGCACAAAAUCCUGUGUUCAAUCCCCAGUAUCUCCA